rnacentral:tRNA from 1 species
AAUUGUUGCAGAAGUUUCUGUAGUGUAGUGGUUAUCACGUUCGCUUAACACGCGAAAGGUCCUCGGUUCGAAACCGGGCGGAAACAGAGCUCUUUGACACGUGCAGUAGGUACUGUACUUUCAACAAAGAAUUGUUAUUUUCAUAAAUUCUGUAUUUUGGAAAUUCGAAUACGUGCCCUGAAUAUCUGUAAAAUUCGGUUUACUUCUUGCAGGAAAAUCAAGCAGCAGUUUCUGUAGUGUAGUGGUUAUCACGUUCGCUUUACACGUGAAAGGUCCUCAGUUUGAAACCGGGAGGAAACAGUGCUCUUUGACAUGUGCAGUAGGUACUGUACUAUUAACAGAGAAUAGUUAUUUUCAUAAAUGCCUACUUUUGGAAAUUCGAAUACGUGCCCUGAAUAUCUGUAAAAUUCGGUUUACUUCUUGCAGGAAAAUCAAGCAGAAGUUUCUGUAGUGUAGUGGUUAUCACGUUCGCUUUACACGCGAAAGGUCCCUGGUUCGAAACCGGGCGGAAACAAAACUCAUUGACACAUUCUGAAGUACCAUAGUGGUAACAGAAAAUUUCAUGAAUUCUUUAUUUUGGAAAUUCGAAUACGUGCCAUGAAUAUUUUUAAAAUUCGGUUUACUUCUUGCAGGAAAAUCAAGCAGAAGUUUCUGUAGUGUAGUGGUUAUCACGUUCGCUUUACACGCGAAAGGUCCUCGGGCGGAAACAGUGCUCUUUGACACCUGCAGUAGGUACAGUACUUUUAACAGAGAAUAGUUAUUUUCAUAAAUGCCUAAAUUUGGAAAUUUGAACACGUGCCAUGAAU